CCGCCUGGGGAGUACGGCCGCAAGGUUAAAACUCAAAUGAAUUGACGGGGGCCCGCACAAGCGGUGGAGCAUGUGGUUUAAUUCGAUGCAACGCGAAGAACCUUACCUGGUCUUGACAUCCACAGAAGAAUCCAGAGAUGGAUUGGUGCCUUCGGGAACUGUGAGACAGGUGCUGCAUGGCUGUCGUCAGCUCGUGUUGUGAAAUGUUGGGUUAAGUCCCGCAACGAGCGCAACCCUUAUCCUUUGUUGCCAGCGAU
rnacentral:rRNA from 2 species